ensembl:lncRNA
UUUCUCUGGCCCUCUGACCCCUCUUACUAUUACACACUUCCUUUGUCCCUGUUUUCAUUGUCAUGGUUUCUCCCAGCAGCACCUGGAGACUGCCUAAGGACUUCAUCCGGCUGCAGGAGCGUCCAGGAGUUGCUGGUCCUGGGAGCUGCCUUUGGCCACUGAAGAAUAAGAGUUGGUGGACAGACACUGCCUGGCAGGUGGAACUAUCCCUUGUAACAGUGCUCUCCAGGAAACAGUCAGUACAGAAGAAGAUUUAUUAGGAGGCUUUGGAUCAUAUGAUUGUGGAGGAUGAGAAGUCCUACACACUGUAACCUGCAAGCUGGAAGCCCAGGAAAGCUGGUGGUGAUGUUGCAAUCUGCUGUGGUUUGGAUGUGGUUGGUCUCAAAAGUUUAGAAGGGGGAGGCAGCGUCCCUGGUUACAGGCGCUGGAGCGUCUCCUUGGAGCUCCGUGGUGUAUCUAGGAGUCUGAAAGUGCACCCCAGCCAACUAUGAACUGAAACCUCUUCAAACUGUGAGGUGAAGGAGAAACCAGAUUCUGUCCUGUUCCAGCUGUUGCUGUUUGAGGUCUAUGGCUUUUGCAGCAGUACCUAACCUUCACAGACACAGACUCAUGACUGUGUCAGAUGGUGGGUAUCAUCCAUCUCCGUACUCUGUACUUUCUCACCUGAAGAAGCAGAACCUCUGGGCGUGAUCCUGUUCAUCACUAAUACACGGAUGGCCUCACAUUCACCCCUAUGUACCUGAUAUGAGACCAAGUCCCUGAGAUGGCCCUAUUAUAGGCUGCACUGUCCACCAUAGGCUCUGCUCACGGAAGCCCUAGACCACUCUAGCAUGCGGUUUUACAUUGUGAAAGAACAGAAUACUAUUUUGUGACACUGGUGAAAAUUAGAUGAAAUCCAAAUGUCAGUGUCCAUAAAUGAAGUUCUAUUGGCCACAGCUGCUCAUUUGUUUGCAUACUCUCUAUGGCUAUUGUGUUCCAGCAGCAGAGCCGAGGAGCUAUAAUGGACCCCAGGGUCUGUAAAGCCUGAAAUAUUUACUCUUUGAUGCUUGAUAGAAAACGUUUGUUGAUUCUUCAUCCAGAUGAAAUCAAAUUCCAAUAAUGUAAUUAUCCAUGCCUGAUGAUUUCCUUCUCCAGUAGCUGCUUUCAUCCAUGCUUCUCAGAAGCUGUCAGGAAUGAAGGGGCCUGACAGCCUCAGGAAUGGAGGAAGGUGCAGGCCAGGCAGGGGCAAUUGUCCUCUGCCCUGUGGGCCCGCAAGUAAGUUCCCUUCACUUGGCCAUGGGGUAUGCUCUGAUUGAAUGGGUUCUUGUCCAUCUACUUAGAGCCCUAUCUGUAUCUACCUCCAUCUCUCUGUAGAUUAUACCCACAUGUAUAUAAAUUAUAUAGGUGUGCAUAAUAUAGAAAACUUUAUGCUAGUGAUAAAUGCUAUAAAAAUAAAGUAUGUGAAAGAGGUAGUGAUGGGAGGCAUUUCUUCAAAAGGGGCAAGGGAAGGUCUCUCAGGUGCCAUGAGCAAAGACCUGUCUGAAGCAGUGAAGUACUGAUGCAUUCCAGGCAGUGCAAAGGCCCUGGGAUGGAACUGUCCUCUGUCCAAGAAAGACAAGAUGGCUUGGGGGCAGAGCCAGGGGGUGGGGGUGGGUGCUAGGUGGGAAGUGAGCCUGAGGAGUAAGGAGCGGCAGAUGGAGAACAAUCACAGGCCAAGGACAGGUGUCUGGAUGAUACCUUAAGUGCAGUUAAGUCUCCAGAGUGACCUGGGGCACGGUAUAAUCUGUUCUACAGAUUUCAAAGAUCUCUGUGGAGACUGAACCAUUGGACCUCCUGUGGGUCCUCAGGCAGGGCUUCCCUGAAGCAAAGAUCUCUGAACAUCAGGUGGUAAGCAGGCUGCCAAAGAGGCUGCAGCCUGGCUGGGGAAGGCAAGGGUCAGGUCAGGCGGAGUGGUGGACUCAGGAUGGUCCUUCAGACUUCCCCUCCUCUAGUCUCCUCUUUACCUCCUCUGUCCCUAUUUUCUCUGGGCACCAUGGCCCCUGCAGUUCACCCUCCUCAGGCCAGCUACCAUGCUGAUGCACCUGUCAAGUGCCUCUUCUGGGCCAAGUUCCUGGCUGAUAGGGAGUAGGUGGCUCAGAGCAGGUAUUUAUCAAAAAAACCAGGAGCUGGUGCUGGAAGGACAGCCGAAGUGGGCUACAUGGGGAUUCAUGAGAACCAUUCCACUGGCAUAGUUCAGUGUUCCAGAUUAUUCCCUUAAGGAUCUGGGUGACACACCUCUUGUCCUCACGGAUGGAGCCUGACACUCAGCACACAGAGCCAUAUCCUAUGGCAGUUCUACACCACCCAAGCCCAAACUCAACACUGUGAGCUCCUCCAAGCCACUUCACUUUGGAGCCCUGCCCUAAUCCCACAGUGCCUGGGACACUGGGGUAGGUGGAAAUGCUCCCUGAAGUAGUGCCCACCACUCCAUGGACUGGAUAGUUAUUACUAUCGAUGAGAAAAUUUAGUCAGAAAGGUGACCUACCUCAAGGUUAAAGGCUGGUCAACGGCGGAGGCAGACUGUGUUAAUUCUGCUAGGUAUAGGCUGUGCUCCUCAUACUUACUGGAUCAAUCAUUGACUGAAUUUACAAUCUAAAACAUCAGUGGGCUAUUCUCCAAUUCACCACUACUUAUACAAGAAAGCAGACAUCUGUAAGCUGUGACCACUUUACACCCACCAGGCUGGCUAAAAAAAGAAUAUAUGGCAAAAGCACUGUUGGUGGGAAUGUACAAUGGUGAAAAUGUGGCCAAAAAACAAAAAAAGUGACCAAAUAACUCAGCAGCCCAGGGAAACUGAAAACACAAAAUUUAUAGACAAAUGUUUGCAUCAAUAUGAUUCCUAAUAGCUAAGAAGUGAACAGUCCAAAUGACCAUCAACUGAUGGACAAAAUGUGAUAUAGUCAUACAGUGGAAUAUUAAGGGAAAAAAAGGAAUGAAAGCUGGGCAUUAUAGCACACACCUGUAAUCUCAGCACUUGGGAGGCUGAGGCAGGAGGAUUGCAGCCUGGGCAAUAUAGUGAGCUCAAGGUCAGCCUGAACUACAUAGCAAGACUGCCUCAAAAACAUAACUAAAUGAAAGAAUCCAGCUAUAAAAGGCUAUAUGUUGAAUUCCAUUUAUAGGCAAAGUCCCAAACUGACCAGCCUAUAGACAUAAAGAUCAAUGGCUGCAGGGGCAGGUGUAUGUGUAAGGUAGUGGGUGGGGAAACUUAGAAGUGUCUGCUAAUGGGCAUGUGUUUCUAAGGUGACAGAAAUGUUCUAUAAUUAGAUCAUGGUAAUGGCUGCACAACUGAUUUGUACAUUUCCAGAGUGAAUUAUCUCAAUAA